UACGUAGGGUGCGAGCGUUAAUCGGAAUUACUGGGCGUAAAGCGUGCGCAGGCGGUUGUGUAAGACAGGCGUGAAAUCCCCGGGCUCAACCUGGGAACUGCGCUUGUGACUGCACAGCUAGAGUACGGCAGAGGGGGGUGGAAUUCCACGUGUAGCAGUGAAAUGCGUAGAGAUGUGGAGGAACACCGAUGGCGAAGGCAGCCCCCUGGGUCGAUACUGACGCUCAUGCACGAAAGCGUGGGUAGCAAACAGGAUUAGAUACCCUGGUAGUCCACGCCCUAAACGAUGUCAACUAGGUGUUGGGUGGGUAAAACCAUUUAGUACCGUAGCUAACGCGUGAAGUUGACCGCCUGGGGAGUACGGCCGCAAGGUUAAA
rnacentral:rRNA from 1 species